rnacentral:lncRNA from 1 species
CUCUGCUAUAUACUGAAAACUAUCAUGAAUCAAUAGAAUGAUAUCCUUUAUAUAAUGCUUAAUGGUCCAAUAUCUAAUUCAUAAAGAUCCCAAGACCAAUACUUAAGAAAUUGUCCAUUAACCAGGCCUUGCGGUCAUAAAACUUUCGAGUCAGCUUUUCGUACUCGUACUCGAAAAUCAACCAAUCAAAAUGCUGGAUUUCAUGUUUCGAACAUGAUUUUUGUGCUCCAAGCACUGAGCAAAGUUUUUUGACUUCAACCCCGGGAAACCUUUAUAUAAUGAUUAAUGGUUUAAUAUCUAUUUUAGAAAGAUCCAAAGACCAAUACUUAAGUAAUUGUCCAUUAACCAGGAAACCUUUGUUUUCCUCCCUUUUUGCCCCUAACUCAUAAAGAGUUUGAGCCAUAACCCCCCCCCCCCCCCCCCC